rnacentral:rRNA from 1 species
AUUGAACGCUGGCGGCAUGCCUUACACAUGCAAGUCGAACGGCAGCGCGGGGCAACCUGGCGGCGAGUGGCGAACGGGUGAGUAAAAUAUCGGGAACGUACCCAGGAGUGGGGGAUAACGUAGCGAAAGUUACGCUAAUACCGCAUACGUCCUAAGGGAGAAAGUGGGGGCUCGCAAGACCUCAUGCUCAUGGAGCGGCCGAUAUCUGAUUAGCUAGUUGGUAGGGUAAAAGCCUACCAAGGCAACGAUCAGUAGCUGGUCUGAGAGGACGACCAGCCACACUGGAACUGAGACACGGUCCAGACUCCUACGGGAGGCAGCAGUGGGGAAUUUUUGGACAAUGGGGGCAACCCUGAUCCAGCAAUGCCGCGUGAGUGAAGAAGGC